rnacentral:rRNA from 1 species
AGAGUUUGAUCAUGGCUCAGAUUGAACGCUGGCGGAAUGCUUUACACAUGCAAGUCGAACGAUGAACCUUAGCUUGCUAGGGGGAUUAGUGGCGAACGGGUGAGUAAUAUAUCGGAACGUGCCUUGUAAUGGGGGAUAACUAGUCGAAAGAUUAGCUAAUACCGCAUACGCCCUGAGGGGGAAAGUAGGGGAUCUUCGGACCUUACGUUAUAAGAGCGGCCGAUAUCUGAUUAGCUAGUUGGUGGGGUAAUGGCCUACCAAGGCUUCGAUCAGUAGCUGGUCUGAGAGGACGACCAGCCACACUGGAACUGAGACACGGUCCAGACUCCUACGGGAGGCAGCAGUGGGGAAUUUUGGACAAUGGGCGCAAGCCUGAUCCAGCCAUUCCGCGUGAGUGAAGAAGGCCUUCGGGUUGUAAAGCUCUUUCGCAAGGGAAGAAAACUUACUUUCUAAUAAAGAGUGAGGCUGACGGUACCUUGAUAAGAAGCACCGGCUAACUACGUGCCAGCAGCCGCGGUAAUACGUAGGGUGCGAGCGUUAAUCGGAAUUACUGGGCGUAAAGCGUGCGCAGGCGGUUUGGCAAGUCAGAUGUGAAAUCCCCGAGCUCAACUUGGGAACUGCGUUUGAAACUGCCAGACUAGAAUAUGUCAGAGGGGGGUAGAAUUCCACGUGUAGCAGUGAAAUGCGUAGAGAUGUGGAGGAAU